rnacentral:rRNA from 1 species
GAAACCCAAAAGAUCGAAUGGGGAGAUUCAUCGUCAGCACAUUUAAUAUAUGUAUGAGUUGCGAUAUAAAUUAUCCUUGGAUUAUGCUUGUACGUUCUUGUUCAUUUUAUUGCUGAAUGUUGUCGGCGUGCACUUCUCCCCUAGUAGGACGUCGCGACCCGUUGAGUGUCGUUCUACGGCCCGGAUGGUAGACUUUCAUUUUUUUAAAUAAGACCACUGGUGACCUGAUCGGCUGCUCGGCGGUAUUCGCACGGUAUUGAGCCGCAAUAAUUUGCGUCAAGCCCGUUACAAGCGCGGCUAGUAUCCUGGUAGUGCGGAUUUAAUGCCGUCACUGGGGCUGGCCAGCUGUUGGUUGUACGGUGUUCUUUGACUGGCUCAAAUAUUAAUUACCGGUCGGCGACGCUACUGCUUUGGGUACUUUCAGGACCCGUCUUGAAACACGGACCAAA